UAUAUAUAUAUAUAUAUAUAUAUAUAUGACACGCAAUAUAUAGUUUAAAAGGUUUUCAAGUAUAACUAAGAUUUGAUAUUUGUAUUUCACGCAUACAUUACUGUCAAUUGGUUACAACAUAAUAUAACUAUACCUAUUACAAAGAAUCAUGUUUUACAGAAUUUGAUUUACUUAUUAUAUUCCUUAUAUAUACUUAAUUUAAGGGUGACCGUGUAAUUCAAUAAAUUAAACAUAUAUAUGACAAAUCUAAACAUUAGUAUGGUAUAUAUUUUAUAUUUUAAAAAUUUAUUGAUGUAGUAGUAUCCAUUAAAAUUCUAUAUAUAUCCACAUAAAUUACUAUUUUUUGUUCUGUAAAAAAUAUACUCCCUCCGUCCCACUCCAAUAGGCUCGUUUUCCUUUUUGGGACGUCUCACUCCAAUAGGCCCAGUCUUUUUAUAGAAAUAAUUAGGGCUUUAUUAAGUGUAAGUAUGAGGGUUAAUUAAAGGAGAUAUACUCCUAAUUAAAACCCCACAUUACACACUCUACUCAUUCACGCCACUCAUUCACAACCUCUUUCUAUCAUUUCUCUCUCUAAGCAAACCCUAGAAUCGAAAGGGCUGCCGACACCCUUCUUCAGCCUCCACCGCAACUCCUUCACCGAUCGACCGCAACCCACCUCUUCGAUCUCCCACCGUGAUGUGUACUCCAAAAUCUCCUUUGAUUUGUCCAGAAUUCAACCAAUCCUUUGGUUGAAUUCGUCGAUACCGAGUCUCUGAGCGGUGGUCACGUCUCCGACUCGCAAUUUUUCGAUGGUUGUGACUCUCGUAUAGAUCUUGGUGGCUACGUCCCGUGUCUUUCUCGAGAGGGUAGAAGGAAGGCGGAUCGACAGGCUAGGAGGAAGGCGGUUCGACAAGCUAAGAAGAAGGCGGUUCCUGUGACAGAUCUACCAGAGACCUUCGUCUCGGAGUCCGAGCCACCUGAUGCAGUGGUGGCUGAAGAAGAUGAAGUGGCGGCGCCAGAUUUUGAGGAAAAGGCGGAGCCUCCGCCGUACCGAUUCCAGAGGAUUGUAGAUCGGUUCACCAAAAUCUAUUUUCCCUCACUCAAACAGCCCACAAUCGAGUGACAGUUCAACUCCCUAAGUUGAAUUUGACGUCGGCUUCUUUCAUUUUGCCGUAUUUGGGUUUGCCAUCUUUCGAGUUUUGAAGAAGAAAUUGGACAACCAUCAUCUUCUUAUCAUCUUCAAGACCCCUCAAGUGCAUUCUGCCGUCUGGAAUUUUAGUAUGAAGAUUUUAGUUUAGAAGUGUAGAAUGUUGUGUUAGGAAAUGAAUAUUUAUAGGAGUGUAGUGGUGUCAAGCUUUAAAAAUCUGGCGCCUUUUUUUGGGGUUGAAAUUGUUUGUAAACAACCGCCAAUUCAUUUGGCAAUUUAAUGAAUCAGUCGCUUUUUUUAAUUUUCAGAA